AUUGAACGCUGGCGGCAUGCUUUACACAUGCAAGUCGAACGGUAACAGGGAGCUUGCUCCGCUGACGAGUGGCGAACGGGUGAGUAAUGCGUCGGAACGUGCCGAGUAGUGGGGGAUAACGCAUCGAAAGGUGUGCUAAUACCGCAUACGUACUGAGGUAGAAAGUGGGGGACCUUCGGGCCUCACGCUAUUCGAGCGGCCGACGUCUGAUUAGCUAGUUGGUGAGGUAAAGGCUCACCAAGGCGACGAUCAGUAGCGGGUCUGAUAGGAUGAUCCGCCACACUGGGACUGAGACACGGCCCAGACCCCUACGGGAGGCAGCAGUGGGGAAUUUUGGACAAUGGGCGCAAGCCUGAUCCAGCCAUGCCGCGUGUCUGAAGAAGGCCUUCGGGUUGUAAAGGACUUUUGUCCGGGAGCAAAUGCCUGGUGUUAAUAGCAUCGGGAGCUGAGAGUACCGGAAGAAUAAGCACCGGCUAACUACGUGCCAGCCGCCGCCGUAAAAC
rnacentral:rRNA from 1 species